UCUUCACCUUCGCCCUCGCCGAAGAACUGGGGCGGCCCAGGAGGGCGGAGCUUUUAAACUGACAGACUCGGUCAUACGCUGGAUGGAGCGUCUCCCCACUCUGACUGACAUUUCCCCUAUGCUGAGAAAGGACGUAUGAGUUUUCACUCCCUGUACCUCGAAAUUUGAAACAUAAGAACAAUAAAAAAGGUCAUUUGGUGGCCUUUCUGUGCCUUUUCC